rnacentral:lncRNA from 1 species
UUUCCUAUUAGAUAAUUUGAUUUCCUGUGUUUGUCUUGUCUUCCAUAGCUGUCUUCUAUCACUAAGAAGUUCAUAUUCACAGAAAACUCCAAUCACACUGGUGGUAUCGCCGGAAAUCGGCAGAAGCAUUACUGAAAUGCUCAAUCCUAAUAAAUGAUUGACAUCCAUCUAGGUCCUGCCAUUUCAGAGGUGUUAAAAGGAAACCGCAAAGAAUGAUUUUAGAAAUUGAUCUAGACUUAGAUAUUUUGAAUGCAUUCAUGUUUGUGAUUCAAUGACUGUUGAAUAUGUGUGACAAGAUGAUUAGGUUAUGUACUGACUGUAAUAAGUAAUGCUAUGUGUUAUAGUAUGUUAUUCUAAUCGAUUAAAUGAUCUUAUUAAUGAUAGGUUUCGGUAUAAAAGAUAAAAUUAAGUUCCGUAUUAUAAGUAGUAGAACAGGCAAGUAUCCUACCUUUGUAUUUCCUUUAUGCAAUGGAUAUAAGUAAGAAAGUUUUCAGAAUUAUAUUAUUAUUGUGCCAUAUUCCUA